UCCCUCUUAGCUCAGUGGUAGAGCGCUUCACUAGUAUGUGCAGACUGCCUAUACAGAUGAAGAGGUCAGUCGUUCAAGUCGGCUAGAGGGAA